rnacentral:lncRNA from 1 species
AAAAAUGGAAUAUCUCCAUUUUUAUGCUAUGACGGCUUAAGGGCAGAAGAGUAAAAGCGUAAACCGACCUUGGAGCUAGUAUAUAAGGAGUCCUAGGCGAGGAGCAAGGAGAGAACUUUUUAGACUCGGAAUUCUCUGCACUUAGAGCAUCCCCAUUAGUGAACCCCAUGAAAGGGGUUCACAAAGCAUUUUUUUAUUAUUUUUUUUUUGGGGUUGAUUUUUGUUUUUUAAAAAAAAAAAAAAAAAAAAAAAAUUAUUUUUUCGGACCAGUCGCGGGCCGCCACGUGCCGUGGGGCCCGCGCUACAGUGAUGAACCAGGUUCAUGGGGAAGGGGUGGAGAGAGACAGGUUCAUCACUAUUCCUUAUUUUAAUAUUUUUUUUUUUGGGAAUGUGUGUGAACCCCCCAUAAGUUCACUAAUGGGGGUGCUCUUAGAAACUUUAGGCUUUAUUCUCGACAAGUUCGGUUUCUAUGACUGGCACUCAAUUACUAGACGAACUCGCCCAGGCAGUUUGAUCUCUUUUCCA